rnacentral:rRNA from 1 species
AGUGAACGCUGGCGGUAGGCCUAACACAUGCGAGUCGAACGGCAGCACAGUAAGAGCUUGCUCUUACGGGUGGCGAGUGGCGGACGGGUGAGGAAUACAUCGGAAUCUACUUUUUCGUGGGGGAUAACGUAGGGAAACUUACGCUAAUACCGCAUACGACCUACGGGUGAAAGCAGGGGAUCUUCGGACCCUGCGCGAUUGAAUGAGCCGAUGUCGGAUUAGCUAGUUGGCGGGGUAAAGGCCCACCAAGGCGACGAUCCGUAGCUGGUCUGAGAGGAUGAUCAGCCACACUGGAACUGAGACACGGUCCAGACUCCUACGGGAGGCAGCAGUGGGGAAUAUUGGACAAUGGGCGCAAGCCUGAUCCAGCCAUACCGCGUGGGUGAAGAAGGCCUUCGGGUUGUAAAGCCCUUUUGUCGGGAAAGAAAAGCAGCAGGUUAAUACCCCGCUGUUCUGACGGUACCCAAAGAAUAAGCACCGGCUAACUUCGUG